CAAAGUGAUGAUCAUUAUUAUUGUUAAUGAAAAACAUAGCAUAUCUUUAAUUUGGGUUUCACAUUUUGGACAUGUUUUCAAUAUAAAUGUGCCUUUAAUCUCAAAUGGACAAAAUGUAUUAUCACUGUUGUUAUAGUUUCAGCUGUUUUUAACAUGUCAUUUUAUUGAUUAUUUGGGGGCACUUCAAAAACAUGGGGAAAUGAGGAUAUUAUGAAAUUUUACUAUUAAUUGGUUUCCUGAUUUGGAUUAAUUUGUGUAAUUAUUGGAUAUCUAGAAUAAAAUCAUUGAAGGAAAUAAAUAAAAGUAAGCACUUAACAAAUCAAAUGUUUCUAAAUAUACAAAAAAUUAACCCAAAUUUUUAAAGGGUCACAUGAUCUAGGAUUAACCUUUAAUUAAAAAGAAGUUCAAGUUGGGAGUUCCCACAGUGGCUCAGUGGUAAUGAACCCAAUUAGUAUCCAUGAGGACAUGGGAUUGAUCCCUGGCCCCCCACUCAGUGUGUUAAGGAUAUGGUGUUGUAGCGAGCUCUGGUAUAUGUUAAAGAUGCAGCUUGGAUCUGGCGUUUCUGGGUGUAGCCUGGAAUUGUCUAUGUGCCGUGGGUGUGGCCCUAAAAAGACCAAAAAAAACCCCAUCAACUUGAACUUUUUUUUUUUUAAUACAGACGUCUUUAGAAUUAUCAACAUUAAGUAGAAUGCUUUUAUUGUACCUAGGUUUACUAAAAAUAUAUAGGCUAAUGUUAUUUCUGUUAAGAAAUUUGUCAACAAGAAAUUGGUAUGAUAUUUUCACAAGUAAUAGAGUUAAAUGGGAUAAAAUUUCUUAGUUAAAUACCUUAAGAAUUGUGUUUUAUGUAUGUCUACUGAAAAAUAGUUUCUCCCGACUUUUGAUAACUUGAAAAUUUAGUGUUUGGCUAAAUUAAAACAGAUGAUGGAAAUUCACUGAAUAUUCAGAUCAUUUCUAAUUAAGAUAAAAUACUGACACACCAUUUGCUAAGCACGUCUGAGUUUACCUACUUCGGCUUAUUAGAGAGAAACUAAAAAAGAUUAUUGAGUUUAUACGGGCUCAUGUCUUAUACCACACUGAGAAAAGAAGUUCUGCUCUGAGAAAAUAUGUAUUUCUAGAGCUUAUGAUUCCAAAACCAUAACUUAGGUUCAUAAGUUUGCCAUUCAAAAAAUACAGGAAUAGAACACAGUUGACAUUUGUUGCUUCUUGGCUUUUGCUAGCAAGUAAGGGUUUGUUGUUGUUGUUGUUGUUGCCACACAUGCAGCACAUGGAAAUUCCUGGGCCAGGGAUCAAACCCAUGCAGCAUACCUAAGCCACUGAAGUGACAAUGCCAGAUCCUUAAUCUGCUGUGCCACAAGAUAACUCCUAUAGAGAUUAAGGUUUUUUAAAUUGUUAAAAAUUACUUGUAAUUAAAACUACUAGAAAUAAUAAGGAAAGUACUUUAAUUUACAAGGAAAAUAGGAUGUUUUCAGUAAAAGAAGAUAUGGAAAAUGGAAAUGCAUUUUAAGAGAAAAGAAAGUGGUUUUGUGUGUGUGUGUCCUGAAGUAUCUCAAAGUGAUAUUAAACUAAUGAGGCUUAUUUGGGAUUGAAUGAUUGAUAAAUAGGAUGAUUUUUAUGACUUUUUACAUGAAAUAUUACUGGCCUUUAAUCUUUGCUUUUCAGAUAUAACCAAACCUUUCCCUUUAAGCUAAUUCUAAUUUACAGAAAUUCAGAAAUUCAGUAAAUUGUACCUUUAUAAGCGGAAUUGAAGCAUUUAUCUUUAAAAUUUUUUUAUUAUAGUUGAUUUAUAGUGUUGUGCCAAUUUCUGCUGUACCGCGUAGUGACCCAAAUAUAUGUUCCAUCAUAUUCUAUCCCAAGAGAUUGGAUAUAAUUCCCUGUGCUACACAGCAGGACCUCAUAGCUUAUCCAUUCUAAAUGUAAUAGAUUGCAUCUACUAACCCCAGACUCUCCAUCCAUCCUGCUUGCUCCAUCCUCCUCUCCUUGUCAGGGGUGUUCUCUAUGUCUAUGAGUCUGUUUCUGUUUUGUAUAUAGGUUCAUUUGUGCCAUAUUUUAGAUUCCACAUAUAUGGUAUUUGUCUUUCCCUUUCUGAUUUCACUUAGUGUGAUAAUUUCUAGUUCCAUCCAUGUUGUUGCAAAUGGCUUGAUUUCAUUCUUUUUGGUGGCUGAGUAUUCCACUGUAUAUAUGUACCACCUCAUCCUGAUUUGUUCGUCUUUUGAUGGACAUUUAGGUGGUUUGCAUGUCUUGGCUAUUGUGAAUAGUGCUGCUAUGAACACAGGGGUGCAUGUAUCUUUUUGGAUUGUAGUUUUGUCUGGAUAUAUGCCCAGGAGUGGGAUUCCUUGGUCAUAAUGUAGUUCCAUAUUUAGCUUUCUGAGGAACUGCCAUAUUGUUUUCCAUAGUGGCUGUAACAAUUUACAUUCCCACCAACAGUGUAGGAGGGUUUCCUUUUCUCGACACCCUCUACAACAUUUCUUAUUUGUAGACUUGUUAAUGAUGGCCAUUCUGGCUGGUGUGAGGUGGUACAUCAUAGUAGUUUUGAUUUGCCUUUCUCUAAUAAUUAGUGAUUUUGAGCGACUUUUCGUGUGCUUACUGACUAUCCAUGUGUCUUUGGAGAAAUGUCUAUUUAGGUUUUCUGCCCAUUUUUUUGAUUGGGUUGUUUGCUUUUUUGUUGAGUUGUAUGAGUUGUUUAUAUCUUUUGGUGAUUAGAUAUAUAUAUUUUGGUGAUUAGACCCUUGACGGUUACAUCAUUUGUAAAGAUUUUCUUCCAUCUCUGGCGUGUCUUUUUUUUUUUUUUUUUUUUUUUUUUUUNAAUUUUCUACUAUACAGUAAGGUGAGCCAGUCACACAUACGUAUACACAUUCUUUUUUUCACAUUAUCAUGCUCCAUCGUAAGUGACUAGAUAGAGUUCCCAGUGCUAUACAGCAGAAUCUCAUGCUUAUCCAUUCCAAAGGCAAUAGUUUGCAUCUAUUAACCCCAAAUUCCCAGUCCAUCCCACUCUCUCCCCCUUGGCAACCACUAGUCUAUUCUCCAAGUACAUGAGUUUCUUUUCUGUGGAAAGCUUCAUUUGUGCCAUAUAUUAGAUUCUAGAUGUAAGCAAUAUCACAUGGUAUUUGUCUUUUUCUUCCUGACUUAUUCCAUUUAGUAUGAAAAUCUCUAGUUCCAUCCAUGUUGCUGAAAAUGGCUUUGUUCUUUUUUAUGGCUGAGGAGUAUUCCAUUGUGUAUAUAUACCAAACUUUCUUAAUCCAUUCAACUGUUGAUGGACAUUUAGGUUAUUUCCAUGUAUUGGCUAUUGUGAAUAGAGCUGCAAUGAAUAUACAGGUGCUUGUGUCUUUUUAAAUGAAAGUUUUGUCCAGAUAUAUGCCAAAGAGUGGGAUUGCUGAGUCAUAUAUAUGGUAGUUCUGUAUAUAGUUUUCUGAGGAACCUCCAUACUGUUUUCCACAGUGGUUGCACCAAUUUACAUUCCCACCUACAGUGUAGAAGGGUUUCCUUUUCUCCACACCCUCUCCAGCAUUUGUUAUUUGUUGACUUGCUAAUGAUGGCCAUUCUGACUGGUAUGAGAUGGUACCUCAUAGUAGUUUUAAUUUGCAUUUCUCUAAUAAUCAGUGAUGUUGAGCAUUUUUCAUGUGCUUUUUGGCCAACUGUAUAUCUUCUUUGGAGAAACGUCUAUUCAGGUCUUCUGCCCAUUUUUACAUUGGGUUGUUGGCUUUUUUGCUGUUGAGUUGUAUAAGUUAUUUGUAUAUUUUAGAGGUUAAGCCCUUGUCAGUUGCAUUGUUUGAAACUAUUUUCUCCCAUUCUGUAAGUUGUGUUUUUUAGUUUUUUAUGGUUUUCUUUGCUGUGCAAAAGCUUGUCAGUUUGAUGAAGUCCCAUUAGUUUAUUUUUGCUUUUAUUCCUGUUGCCUUAGACUCACCUGAGAAGACAUUUGUAGGUUGAUAGCAGAGAAUGUUUUGCCUAUCUUCUCUUCUAGGAGUUUGAUGAUGUCUUGUCUUACAUGUAAGUCUUUAAGCCGUUUUGAGUUUAUUUUUGUGCAUGGUGUGAGGGUAUGUUCCAGUUUCAUUGAUUUACAUGCAGCUUUCCAGUUCUCCCAGAUCUUUUUUUUUAAAUGGUUUCUUUUGCUAUGCAAAAGCUUUUAAGUUUAAUUAGGUCCCAUUGGUUUAUUUUUAUUGUCAUUAUUCUAGGAGGUGGAUCAAACAAUACAUUGCUGUGAUUUAUGCCAAAGAGUGGUCUGCCUAUGUUUUCCUCUAGGAGUUUUAUAGUAUCUGGCCUUACGUUUAGAACUUUAAUCCAUUUUGAGUUUAUCUUUAUACCUGAUUCUUUGAGAGCUUGAAGACUCUAAGUUUCCCAACAGCAUUUCCAGGUGAUAAAGAAGGUUCCGACAGGUGCAAGAACCUCAAGAAGAGAGGAAUCCAUCUAAAUAUAUAGAUACUGUAGAUGGAAUCUAGGGGCAUGGCUUUCCUGGCCUUAAGAGGCCUCUUUUAAAAGUUCAAUUUGAUGGGGUUCCCAUUGUGGCUCAGUGGUUAAUGAAUCUGACUAGGAACCAUGAGGUUGCAGGUUCAAUCCCUGGCCUCGCUCAGUGGGUUAAAGAUCUGGCAUUGCCAGGGGCUGUGGUGUAGGUCGCAGACAUGGCUCAGAUCCCGUGUUGCUGUGGCUCUGGCGUAGCAGCUACAGCUCCGAUUAGAUGCCAAGCCUGGGAACAUCCAUAUGCCAUGGGAGCGACCCCAGAAAAGGCAAAAAGACAAAAAAAAAAAAAAAAAAAAAAAAA
rnacentral:lncRNA from 1 species